rnacentral:rRNA from 1 species
AUUGAACGCUGGCGGCAGGCCUAACACAUGCAAGUCGAACGAGUGGCGGACGGGUGAGUAAUGUCUGGGAAACUGCCUGAUGGAGGGGGAUAACUACUGGAAACGGUAGCUAAUACCGCAUACCAUCGGAUGUGCCCAGAUGGGAUAAGCUGGUAGGUGGGGUAACGGCUCACCAAGGCGACGAUCCCUAGCUGGUCUGAGAGGAUGACAAGCCACACUGGAACGUAUACACGGUCCAGACUCCGACGGGAGGCAGCAGGGGGGAAUAUUGCACAAUGGGCGCAAGCCUGAUGCAGACAUGCCGCGUGUAUGAAGAAGGCCUUCGGGUUGUAAAGUACUUUCAGCGGGGAGGCGUUACCCGCAGAAGAAGCACCGGCUAACUCCGUGCCAGCAGCCGCGGUAAUUC